CAGAACCUACGGGGGGCAGCAGUAGGGAAUCUUCCACAAUGGACGAAAGUCUGAUGGAGCAACGCCGCGUGAGUGAAGAAGGGUUUCGGCUCGUAAAGCUCUGUUGGUAGUGAAGAAAGAUAGAGGUAGUAACUGGCCUUUAUUUGACGGUAAUUACUUAGAAAGUCACGGCUAACUACGUGCCAGCAGCUGCGGUAAUACGUAGGUGGCAAGCGUUUUUCGGAUUUAUUGGGC
rnacentral:rRNA from 1 species